GGUACCUGCGGAGGGAUCAUUACCGAGUUUACAACUCCCAAACCCCUGUGAACAUACCAAUUGUUGCCUCGGCGGAUCAGCCCGCUCCCGGUAAAACGGGACGGCCCGCCAGAGGACCCCUAAACUCUGUUUCUAUAUGUAACUUCUGAGUAAAACCAUAAAUAAAUCAAAACUUUCAACAACGGAUCUCUUGGUUCUGGCAUCGAUGAAGAACGCAGCAAAAUGCGAUAAGUAAUGUGAAUUGCAGAAUUCAGUGAAUCAUCGAAUCUUUGAACGCACAUUGCGCCCGCCAGUAUUCUGGCGGGCAUGCCUGUUCGAGCGUCAUUUCAACCCUCAAGCCCUCGGGUUUGGUGUUGGGGAUCGGCGAGCCCUUGCGGCAAGCCGGCCCCGAAAUCUAGUGGCGGUCUCGCUGCAGCUUCCAUUGCGUAGUAGUAAAACCCUCGCAACUGGUACGCGGCGCGGCCAAGCCGUUAAACCCCCAACUUCUGAAUGUUGACCUCGGAUCAGGUAGGAAUACCCGCUGAACUUAAGCAUAUCAAAAGCCGGGAGA
rnacentral:rRNA from 1 species